rnacentral:lncRNA from 1 species
UGCAGGUUGUCCACCCGGCCGGAGGUGGCCAGCAUCGAGUCGCUGGGCCUGGACGAGCAGCAGUGCUCCCAGAAGGCGGUGGUGCAGGCCCACCUGACCCAGCCUGCCCGACUCACCAGCAUCAUCUUUGCAGAGGACAUCAGUAAGGGCACAGACCAGGUCCUGCACUGUGACGCCACCGUGGACCUCAUCCCCGGCAUCCAGAUCGUCUCCACCACCCGCAAGCUCAACCUGGAGGACUCCCCCCUGGAGCUGAAGAUCCAGGCCCUGGACUCUGAGGGU